UUACCACCUUGACAUGACAGAUGGCUUCGGGCACAGGUGCUGCAUGGCUGUCGUCAGCUCGUGUCGUGAGAUGUUCGGUUAAGUCCGGCAACGAGCGCAACCCCAUCCUAGUUGCCAGCAUUGGGACUCUAUGAAACUGCCCGUGAUAACGGGAGGAAGGUGUGGAUGACGUCAAGUCCUCAUGGCCCUUACGGUGGGCUACACACGUGCUACAAUGGGUGACAAGGGAUCCCAAAAGCAUCUCANUUCGGAUUGGGGUCUGCAACUCGACCCCAUGAAGUCGGAAUCGCUAGUAAUCGCGAACAGCAUGCGCGGUGAAUACGUUCCCGGGCCUUGUACACACCGCCCGUCACACCAUGGGAGUUGGUCACCGAC
rnacentral:rRNA from 1 species